rnacentral:rRNA from 1 species
GACGAACGCUGCCGGCGUGCCUAAUACAUGCAAGUCGAGCGGACGGAUGGGAGCUUGCUCCCAGACCGUCAGCGGCGGACGGGUGAGUAACACGUGGGCAACCUGCCUGUAAGACUGGGAUAACUCCGGGAAACCGGGGCUAAUACCGGAUAACUCUUUCCCUCACAUGAGGGAAAGCUGAAAGAUGGCAUCUCGCUAUCACUUACAGAUGGGCCCGCGGCGCAUUAGCUAGUUGGUGAGGUAACGACUCACCAAGGCGACGAUGCGUAGCCGACCUGAGAGGGUGAUCGGCCACACUGGGACUGAGACACGGCCCAGACUCCUACGGGAGGCAGCAGUAGGGAAUCUUCCGCAAUGGACGAAAGUCUGACGGAGCAACGCCGCGUGAGUGAUGAAGGUUUUCGGAUCGUAAAACUCUGUUGUCAGGGAAGAACAAGUACCGGAGUAACUGCCGGUACCUUGACGGUACCUGACCAGAAAGCCACGGCUAACUACGUG